CCUACGGGGGGCAGCAGUGAGGAAUAUUGGUCAAUGGGCGCGAGCCUGAACCAGCAAAGUAGCGUGAAGGAUGAAUGCCCUACGGGUUGUAAACUUCUUUUAUAAAGGAAUAAAGAGAGGCACGUGUGCCUUUUUGUAUGUACUUUAUGAAUAAGGAUCGGCUAACUCCGUGCCAGCAGCCGCGGUAAUACGGAGGAUCCGAGCGUUAUCCGGAUUUAUUGGGGUUAAAGGGAGCGUAGAUGGGUUGUUAAGUCAGUUGGGAAAGUUUGCGGCUAAACCGUAAAAUUGCAAUUGAUACUGGCAGUCUUGAGUACAGUUGAGGUAGUCGGAAUUCGUGGUGUAGCGGUGAAAUGCUUGGAUAUCACGAAGAACUCCGAUUGCGAAGGCAGCUUACUAAACUGCCACUGACAUUGAUGCUCGAAAGUGUGGGUAUCAAACAGGAUUAGAAACCCGAGAGUC
rnacentral:rRNA from 1 species